UACGGGGGGGGUAAGCGUUGUUCGGAAUUACUGGGCGUAAAGGGCUCGUAGGCGGCCAACUAAGUCAGACGUGAAAUCCCUCGGCUUAACCGGGGAACUGCCUCUGAUACUGGAUGGCUUGAGAUUGGGAGAGGGAUGCGGAAUUCCAGGCGUAGCGGUGAAAUGCGUAGAUAUCUGGAGGAACACCGGUGGCGAAGGCGGCAUCCUGGACCAACACUGACGCUGAGGAGCGAAAGCCAGGGGAGCAAACGGG
rnacentral:rRNA from 1 species